rnacentral:ncRNA from 1 species
GCCUUGGUCGGAAACCAAGGCAUUAGAAGGAG